rnacentral:rRNA from 1 species
GAUGAACGCUGGCGGCGUGCCUAAUACAUGCCAGUCGAGCGAACAGACGCGGCGCUUGCUCCUCUGACGUUAGCGGCGGACGGGUGAGUAACACGUGGAUACCCUACCUAUAAGACUGGGAUAACUUCGGGACACCGGCGCUAAUACCGUAUGAUCUAUUGAACCGCAUGGUUCAAUAGUGAAAGACGGUUUUGCUGUCACUUCUCGCUGCAUCUGCGCCGGAUUAGCUAGUUGGUAAGGUAACGGCCUACCAAGGCAACGAUGCGUAGCCGACCUGAGAGGGUGAUAGGCGACAUUGGAAGUGGGACACGGUCAAGACGCCUAAGGGAGGCAGCAGAAGGGAACCGGACGCAAUGGGCGAAAGUAUGACGGAGCAAGGCGGAGUGAGUGAUGAAGGUCUCGGGAUCGUAAAAAUGGGUUAUGAGGGAAGAACAAAUGUGGAAGUAACUAUGCGCGGCUUGACGGUACCUAAUCAGAAAGCCACGGCUAACUACGUG